UACGUAGGGUGCAAGCGUUGUCCGGAAUUAUUGGGCGUAAAGAGCUCGUAGGCGGUUUGUCGCGUCUGCUGUGAAAACCCGAGGCUCAACCUCGGGCCUGCAGUGGGUACGGGCAGACUAGAGUGCGGUAGGGGAGAUUGGAAUUCCUGGUGUAGCGGUGGAAUGCGCAGAUAUCAGGAGGAACACCGAUGGCGAAGGUAGAUCUCUGGGCCGUAACUGACGCUGAGGAGCGAAAGCAUGGGGAGCGAACAGG
rnacentral:rRNA from 1 species